rnacentral:misc_RNA from 1 species
GAUGAAGAACGCAGUGAAAUGCGAUAAGUAAUGUGAAUUGCAGAAUUCAGUGAAUCAUCGAAUCUUUGAACGCACAUUGCGCCCGCCAGUAUUCUGGCGGGCAUGCCUGUCCGAGCGUCAUUUCAACCAUCAAGCCUCGUGCUUGUGUUGGGGACCUGCGUCCGACGCAGGCCCUGAAAACCAGUGGCGGGCUCGCUGUCCACACCGAGCGUAGUAACUAACCUCGCUAUGGAGUGGCGCGGGCGCCUGCCGUAAAACCCCCAAUUUCACAAGGUUGACCUCGGAUCAGGUAGGAAUACCCGCUGAACUUAAGCAUAUCAAUAGCGGAGGA